AUUGAACGCUGGCGGCAGGCCUAACACAUGCAAGUCGAGCGAGAGGCGGACGGGUGAGUAAUGUAUGGGGACUGCCCGAUAGAGGGGGAUAACUAAUGGAAACGGUAGCUAAUACCGCAUACUAUCGGAUAACCCAUAUGGGAUUAGCUAGUAGGUGAGGUAAUGGCUAACCUAGGCGACGAUCCCUAGCUGUUCUGAGAGGAUGAUCAGCCACACUGGGACUGAGACACGGCCCAGACUCCUACGGAGGCAGCAGUGGGGAAUAUUGCACAAUGUGCGCAAGCCUUAUGCAGCCAUGCCGCGUGUAUGAAGAAGGCCUUAGGGUUGUAAAGUACUUUCAGUCGGGAGGCGUUACCUACAGAAGAAGCACCGGCUAACUCCGUGCCAGCAGCCGCGGUAAUAC
rnacentral:rRNA from 1 species